CCGGCACGGGUGAGUAACACGUAUCCAACCUGCCGUCUACUCUUGGCCAGCCUUCUGAAAGGAAGAUUAAUCCGGGAUGGCAUCAUGAGUUCACAUGUCCGCAUGAUUAAAGGUAUUUUCCGGUAGACGAUGGGGAUGCGUUCCAUUAGAUAGUAGGCGGGGUAACGGCCCACCUAGUCAACGAUGGAUAGGGGUUCUGAGAGGAAGGUCCCCCACAUUGGAACUGAGACACGGUCCAA
rnacentral:rRNA from 1 species